rnacentral:lncRNA from 1 species
AAACAAGAUCGGCUCAAACCGUUUUUCUUCCCACUUUCUCUGUUUCACUGACUCUCCACUUACUCAAACAGAAAGGUAGUCAAAACUUUACUGAGUUUUUCCUCUUCAUCGACCCAGUUCCACCUCAACAAUGAACGAAGAGAUGAGCGGAGAGACGCCGGAGAAUAAACAUGUAAGUAGACCAACAUUGCCGGAAAAGAUCGACUACGUGUUCAAGGUGGUAGUGAUUGGUGACUCUGCGGUCGGAAAAACGCAGCUCCUUUCACGUUUUACACAGAACGAGUUCUGUUACGACUCAAAGUCCACCAUUGGUGUCGAGUUUCAGACACGUACGAUCACUCAUCAAGGCAAGCUCGUUAAAGCUCAGAUCUGGGAUACCGCCGGUCAAGAAAGGUAAAUGUCUAUCUACAUCUAUACACACAUUUAACUAUUCUUACAAAGCUGAAUCUCAGGUUGGCUUUCAAAUUAAAUUGUUUACAUAUUUUAAAGUAUAGUUUAUUUUUCUUGGAUCACGACAUUUAGAUAUGAUUUGAUUUGAUUUCCGAUCUACUUAUAAUCAUUGAUUAUACGUUUUUUUUUUUAAACUAUUGGUUUUCUAACUAUUUUGUUAUUAGAACUAAUCAAUGAGUUGUUUUACUGCGUUUUCGGAGAUUAGAUACAGAGCGGUGACAAGCGCGUAUUACAGAGGCGCGUUAGGUGCUAUGGUCGUUUACGACAUAACUAAACGCGUCUCCUUCGACCACGUGGCACGUUGGGUUGAGGACUUGCGAGCUCACGCCGACGACUCCGCCGUGAUUAUGCUCGUCGGAAACAAAGCCGACCUUGCCGCCGAUAAACGCGCCGUCACGACAGAAGACGCCGUCGAGUUCGCCGAGACUCAUCGGCUAUUCUUCUCGGAAGUCUCGGCUCUAAGCGGCGGGAACGUCGACGAAGCUUUUUUCCGUCUGCUAGAGGAGAUUUUCAGCCGCGUUGUUGUUGCGAGAAAAGCUCUGGAAUGUCAGAAUGGGACUACCGCGAAACUUGACGGUUCGAGAAUUGAUGUGAUCAUCUCUGGUUCUGAUCUUGAGACUGGUAAGACGAAUGAACCAGCUUCGUGCUCGUGUUGAUUUUGAGUUUUGAGUGAUGGACUCAAGUAUGGGCCAGAAACCUCGAGACAUAGUGGGACUUUUUUUUUAAUAUCAUUUUACCCAUGUCUUUGUUUAUGGGCUUUUUAUAUAUUUUGUGAAUUGGUGGUACUUAUUCGAUACCGUCUAAAAACUAUUCAUGUCAUAUUUGAUAUCUUUUUUUCUACACCAUUUAUAAUAUUCAUUUAAUAUUAUUGUAUAUGCAAAAAUGGAAGUAUUUUAUACCUUAAACAAACAUUUGAAAUUAUUGACGUUCUUUUUUUUUUGCGCAAACUGAUUUCCAUUAAAUUGAAAAGCUUAAGUUGGGUUUAAGGCCCAUAAAACAUGUUUGACUAUAGAAUCGGCUCAAAGCUCUAGAAAUGAAAGUAAACUUGAUUAUUUUAAAUGAGAACGAUAGGAAAUAGAUGUCACGAAGAAUGCCCUAGAUUUCUAACUUCAUCUCAUGUAUGUUUAUCAUGUUGAUGAGGACAUAAGAAUCAUAAAGCACAGUGAUGAAGUCGAAUCCGUGAUUGAGGGCAAAGUUUAUGGCUGUGAAUACUGCCAUAGUUUCUGCCAUAAGAGCGAGGAGACAAAAGUCUAAGUCGCUGGAUGCUGACGUACAAAUGACAAAAAUUACACGAAAACUGCAUUGCAAAAAGCUUUCUAAUUGCUGUUAUUAGCUGUAAGUCUGUAUAUAUAUAUGCAACUAAUUAAAUCUCAGUUAAAUUUCUAAAGCCACUGUCACGCGAUUUUUAAAAUGACAAUCAAACCUUUUCACUAUAAAUAUUUCACACAUAAGUACUUUACUGUUCUUUGUUUUUUUUCGUCAACAGCUGUUCUUCGUUAAUAGGUUUUCUUCAGCUGUUAUAUGUUAUUACUUAUGAGGAACUGGUAUUACAUAUAGAGAAAAUAUAGAUCGAGAACACCAAAUUAUCAUAAAUAUGGAACUUUGUGAUUAUUAAAAAGUUUUGUUAUACGAUUUUAUGUUCUUUUAAAAGUGUUUAAUGGGGUUGAUUGUAUGAUCACAAUAUAGGUUAUACAUGAUCGUGCGUUCACCCACUCUGAUAUGAUUGUUCAUGGGGAGUUUUGUAUAGAAUUAAGUGAAAUUAUUAGAAUUUACAAUAAGAUCACUAAGCAGAUAUUUUCAUAAUAUUUUUUUAUAAACCCUAUCGGCUGAUCCGGUCGGCCCCGGGAGGAACGCGAUUAGUGAAAUAUUUUCAUAAUAUUUUUCAUGACAUCAACUGUGAGUGUCACUUAGAAUCUCGAAUAUAAUCCAAAUCCGACAUAAGAUAUGAUUCUCUUAUUUUUGCAUUCAACCGAAUAAUCUGAAGUGCUCCAAUCGCAAACUCGUUUUCUCGCCCAUGACCUAAAAAUGGUCUUUUAUAUAAUGCGCAUAUGAUUAAUCCGCCACCAAAGUGCUUUGUGACCACUUAUUUACUUAUUUAUAUGCUGAUAACUCUGUGUUAUGUGUAAAGUUACUAAUUAGUUUAAUAUUUAUAAGCAAGAGUAAGAUUCUCAUGAUAAACAUUUAAAUUAGUAUCUCCAGUAUGAUUGUAUUCAAUAAGUAUUAGCUGAAUUAAGCUAGUUGAUAGUAUAUCAUAAUUUUGACAAAUUUAACGUAACAAUUUUCAUAAUCAUUUACUGCUGUUAGAAACCUGUGUUAUAAUUAUAACUUUCCUUUUUGGGUCAAAAUUACAACUUUCUAUACAUAAAAGAGAUAACUUAAAGGAAAGGCAGUUGACUUGAGAAUAUAAAGUCAAUUGGAGAGCAAUUUGCAGGAGAAAAGUCAUAAAAGUCGUACAUUCGCCACUUGUAAUUAACAAGAGAAUCAUCGGAAAAUGGCAUCUUUGAAAAUAAUAUUGGUAAUUACGUAUACAUAUUGUUUAUAAUUUUUUAAAAAUAUAUUAUUUAUAUUGUUUUUAAGCAUAUAUCGUCUUUUGUUAUUAAGCACUACGUUAAGAUAUGCAAGUUACUUUAUUAAGAUGCAUAUAUACUCACUUCUAUUACAUAUAUAUGGUAAUAUAUAUAUGUUUCUAAAACAUAGUAUUAUAUAUGCAAACAAAGUAGAAUAUUAAUCAAUUUUAAAACUAGUUACAAUUUUUAAAAAAAAAUUAGACAACUUUUUACAAAUGAAACCAAUGGGACAGGUGUAGGAAUAGUGUCUUCAAUAUGUGUAUAGAUUAGAAAAUCUUUUGAGGAUAUAGUCAUUUGAGUGUAGCAAACAUAACAUGACAUAUGCAUAUGAUGACCACAAGUGCAUAUUGGCAGCAUAUACCCGUUUGAGCACCUACAUAUAACUUUGAACUAAUAAAUAUUUAAAUGUAUAUGAAAAACCUUUCGAAUGAUAAAUGAUUAAAUUUUAAACCAAACUAUGAUCUGGCAUUGGCUAAUAGCUUCACACUUCGUUGGCACGUCUAUUUAAAGCUUCACAAAGACGCGAACUUAAAUCACAACCCGAAAACGAAAAAUAUCACAAGAAAAGAAAAAAAAACCAUUUAUUCAGUAUGUUUUCUCUGGGUAUGAGAACCGAAAUAGAAAAUCUGUGGGUCUUUGCUCUUGCAUCAAAAUGCAAUAUUUUCAUUCAAGAACAUUUUAUUUCUCUUCUCAUCGCCGUAGCCAUCACUUGGUUUACCUUCACCAUCGUAUUUUGGUCUACACCUGGUGGACCGGCUUGGGGAAGAUACUUUUUCACUCGCCGGUUUACUUCCGGCUGUAACCAAAAAAACAAGAAUCUCAUUCCCGGUCCGAGAGGGUUUCCACUCGUGGGAAGCAUGAGCCUAAGGUCAAGCCGCGUAGCUCACCAGCGCAUAGCAGCAGUGGCUGCGAUGAGAAACGCCAAGCGGCUCAUGGCGUUUAGCCUCGGUGAUACCAAGGUGAUGGUGACGUGUCAUCCUGACGUGGCAAAGGAGAUACUGAACAGCUCGGUGUUUGCAGACCGACCUGUUGACGAAACCGCUUAUGGUUUGAUGUUUAACCGAGCCAUGGGAUUCGCUCCAAAUGGUGCUUACUGGCGUACGCUACGUCGGUUAGGUUCGAACCAUCUUUUCAACCCAAAGCAAAUCAAACGCUCGGAGGAGCAGAGACGAGUGAUCGCGACUCAGAUGGUGAAUGUAUUUGCACGUAACGCUGAAACCGCGUUUGGAGUACGUGAUUUGCUAAAAACGGCGUCGUUGUCUAACAUGAUGGGUUUAGUUUUCGGGAAACAGUAUGAACUGGAGUCUAAUAACAACGUUGAGUCGGAAUGCUUGAAGGGUUUGGUUGAAGAGGGGUACGAUCUUCUCGGUACACUUAACUGGACCGACCACCUUCCUUGGUUAGGCGGUCUAGAUUUUCAACAAGUCCGGUUCAGAUGCUCUCAGCUUGUACCGAAAGUAAACCAGUUAUUGAGCCGAAUCAUUCAUGAACACCGUGCACCUACGUGCAGUUUUCUCGACGUGUUACAUUCUCUUCAUGAUUCAGAAAAAUUAUCAGAAUCCGACAUGGUCGCUGUUCUUUGGGUACGUAAACAUUAUAUAAUUCUUGUAAUAUGUAGAACAUGGACAUUAAUAUUUCAAAUUUUUGGUCCCUUUAGGAAAUGAUAUUUAGGGGGACGGACACAGUGGCCGUGCUGAUCGAGUGGGUGCUAGCGAGGAUUGUAAUGCAUCCUAAAGUUCAGUCAACGGUCCACGAUGAGCUUGACCGAGUCGUUGGCAGAUCCAAAGCCGUUGAUGAGUCUGACCUCCCAUCUCUCACGUAUCUAACGGCUAUGAUCAAAGAAGUGUUGAGGCUGCAUCCACCAGGCCCACUUCUCUCUUGGGCUCGUCUCUCCAUAACGGACACCACCGUAGACGGAUAUCACGUGCCGGCUGGGACCACCGCGAUGGUCAACAUGUGGGCUAUAGCACGUGAUCCACACGUGUGGGAGAAUCCUUUGGAGUUUAAGCCUGAGAGGUUCGUGGCAAAAGAGGGUGAAGCUGAGUUCUCUGUUCUCGGGUCGGAUAUGAGGUUGGCACCCUUCGGGUCGGGUAAGAGAGUUUGCCCGGGAAAGAAUUUGGGGCUUGCGACGGUUUCGUUUUGGGUUGCAACGCUCUUGCAUGAGUUUGAGUGGCUUUCUAGUGUCAACGCUAACCCUCCUGAUCUUUCAGAUGUUUUGAGGCUGUCGUGCGAGAUGGCUUGUCCUCUUGUCGUUAACUUACGCUCAAGGCGUAAGAUAGCAUAAGCUUCGGUUUAGUCAAUGCACGAAUGCUUCAAAGUUAUUGGCAAAUUAAAAAAACACGUAUUCUAAUAAAACCUGGAAAACUGAUAUGUAUGCAAAGUCCAAAGUGCGAUGUAUAUUCGCCCAUCUUUUAUUGAUUAAGGGAACAUAUUAAUGUAUUUGUAUUAUAUGAAAUAAAUUUAAUAUAUGUUUCAUGCGUACGGUUUGAUGGUGAGUAAUGUUGUUAAUUUUAUUAACCAACGCAGUAGUACGGUAGUCUCGGCUCUAAAAAAACUUAAACACGUUUCAGUUUUACGUGGGCCAUUUGGUUAUUUGAACUUAAACUCAUGUGUUUGUUUCGUUAUGAACUAGUGAGAAAUUCCUUGUAAAAAUUUGUUGGCGUGAGUCGCAUGUUUCGGCUAACCUUCGGUAUGCAAUGCUAAAUCUACAGAAAAUACAAUUUGUACAUUAACUAGUGGUCGCUAUUUAAUUUAACUUAACUAACUUUUCUUAGAUAUAAGAGUUCUAAGAUAUUGGUAAUAUAUAACUAAUUAAAGUUCACUUAUCUUCAAAUGAAUUCAACGAUCAUCCUAGGAAUUAUUCCACUUAACUAAAAUAAAUAACUCUAUACUUCGCGUGUUGAACGAUUAACUGAAUUAUCUUCUCCAGCUUUAAUUAUAUCCUACUCCCAAUUGUAUAAAAUAAUAUGCUUAAUUUGCUACGAAGUUUCUUAGAAGAGCUAGGUCAGUCAACGAUUUUACUAAUGAAACAAGCAUUUGGCUGAAAUUGUGUAUAAUAGGUGUCGUCGUCGAGUGUUCGACUCAGCUAGUGUUUCUGGUUGUUCCAUUACGUGAUCUCAUUAACGCUUGUGUAAUGGACUUAUCACUUCUGAACUUCUAGCAUUUUUAUUUUGUUGUUGACCAACGCAUUAGUCCUCUUAUAUCAGUUUGUUUAUUUAACAUUCGGCAAAUACAUAUCUGACUUCCACUUUUGUUGGUGAAAACAACUUAAACACAUAUCUGACUGCUUACAAACUGUUAAGGUGAUAAAAGAAGAUAAAAAGAUUAGCCGAUUUGACAAUCUGAGAUAGAUGAUUUCUUAUAUUUUUGUUUUACUUUUAUAGAAUUUUUUCCUAUUUCUUUCAGUGCUCAACUCCUUGCUAAAAGAAUCGCAUUUUCUGGAUAAAUGUUAUUGAGUAUGAAUUAAGUCAUGAGGCUUGCCUACUUGAAUUAACGUAUAAUAUAUGGAAUUAUUUGCCAUUAAAAAAUAUUGACACUGAGUCAUUGGCGUUAAGUGGAUAAUCAUGAAUAAUGCAGUUAAUAAAUUUCUUUUACAUGCUACCACAAAGUAUAUACGGCAAUACCGAAUUACAAACUUUGUGUAAAACAACUGUUGGUCAAGACCUCUGUUUACCAGAUGAAAUCGAAAACCCAGAUUCACACAAAACUCUCGGCUCUCUUUUUGGGGGUGGGGAGGAAGAAGGAGAAAGGGGUCUCUUCAGAUUUGUGGUCUGGUUUGGUUUAAUCUGGAGGAGACGACUGCUUUUUCGCAUCUACUGUUGAAUCAUUUUUAAUUAAUUAAUUGUAUCAUUUGGAUCUUUUCAGGAGCUCUCGUUAUAAGAGGCCCUGGUUGAUUUUUAGCCCAUUGUUUUCACAUCUUUAUCUUGUCCUCUUUAUUGGGCCCUGCAGAUUUUUGUUGUUAUAUUCGAAAGAUUGAUGGUUUUUUGGUCCAGAAAUAUUGAUGUUUUAGAAUUUUAAUUGAUGUGUUUUACUUUAAAACUAAAACAUAUACUAUUUAAAUAUAAAAAUAUGAUUAUCUGAAAUUUAUUAGAAAACAUAUAAAAAUUUAAACUAAAAUAAGAGAAAUUUCCUAGGAUAGUCUUUUAAAAAACAAAUUGUCACAAAAAUAGCCCUGAAAAUGACCAAAAUAAGUUUUACCCUAGAGUUAACCAAUUUAAACUUAGGGUUUAGAGUUAAAUAGUGAAGUUUUGGGGAUAUAAUUUCAAAUUAAAAUUAAAAUAAAAAUAAAAAAUAAAUGUUAAAAUUUUCAAAAUAAAAAAAGGACUAUUUUGAUUUUUUUUUUUUUUUUGAAGGUUAUUUUUGUGACAAAAACUUAAAAAUUGUUAUUUACAAAAACUUAAAAAUGGUUAUUUGAGAGAAUUGCCUUAAAAUAAAACUAGCAAGUAAAGAUAAAAAUAAAAAUUAAUUUUUUUGUGUGAAUAAUCUUAAUUUACAUAUUUAAUUUUUCAAUUUUGGUGACAUUUACAACGAAAUAAAACAGAUAUUUAUUCAUUUAGGAUGUUGUCUUGUUCGAAAAAACAAUCCAACCGAUUAAUUUUUUUGUCUUAUACAAUCAAUAAAUUUAAUUUCAAGCAACAAGAAUGAAAAGAAAGAAAGGGACCAAAAAAAGCAAUAAAUUCAUACAUGAGGGAGGAGUAGAGAACAACCAACAAUUGAUAGAUCAUAAGAGCUUUUUAGUUGGUCUCUCCAGACAAAAUGUGGGUUUCAUAUUGAAUCAAUCAAUUGUUUUAGCAAAAUAAUAAUACUAGUAAAGAUCUUUUUCUUUAAUUAUGUCGGUUCAUGCUCACAGCUAUAUUAACAUUGUAUAUUCAUUUAAAGCUAUAUUAAGAGUAUUAAAAGAACGAACAGAGAGCAUCGUUGCUGUCUUCACAAAACAAGAUCGGCUCAAACCGUUUUUCUUCCCACUUUCUCUGUUUCACUGACUCUCCACUUACUCAAACAGAAAGGUAGUCAAAACUUUACUGAGUUUUUCCUCUUCAUCGACCCAGUUCCACCUCAACAAUGAACGAAGAGAUGAGCGGAGAGACGCCGGAGAAUAAACAUGUAAGUAGACCAACAUUGCCGGAAAAGAUCGACUACGUGUUCAAGGUGGUAGUGAUUGGUGACUCUGCGGUCGGAA